rnacentral:rRNA from 1 species
CCCUUACGGGAGGCAGCAGCAAGGAAUUUUCCGCAAUGGACACAUGUCUGACGGAGCAACGCCGUGUGCAGGUCGUCGGCCUUCGGGUUGUAAACUGCUUUUGGGUGGGACGAUGAUGACGGUACCACCCGAAUAAGCCCCGGCUAACUCCGUGCCAGCAGCCGCGGUAAGACGGAGGGGGCAAGCGUUGUCCGGACUCACUGGGCGUAAAGCGUGCGUAGGUGGUGCGAUGCGUCGGCGCUGAAAGCCGGCUUAACCGGGCGACGGGCGACGAUACGAUCGCACUGGAGGCAGGGAGACGUUGAGUGGGAAUUCCGGGUGUAGUGGUGAAAUGCGUAGAGAUCCCGAGGAAUGCCGGUGGCGUAAGCGGCCAACGAGUCCUGACCUGACACUGAGGCACGAAAGCGUGGGGAGCAAACCGCGAUUAGAUACCCGGGUAGUCCACGCCGUAAACGAUGUCGGCUAGGUGUGUGAUCGAGGGUGACCGAUGGCGGUG